rnacentral:lncRNA from 1 species
GCAUCGGUCUUCCAUCGUCAUCAUCAUCUCCAUCAGCCUUUUUCUUUAGAGGUUUCUUUCUCAGUCUCUUUUCCUUUUUCUUGGGUUUCUUCUCUUCUCCUUUUCAUGGCUUCCACUGGUAGAGAAUCCAAAGUUGAGAAUAUGGUUAGUGACCAGAGUUCUCGAGCUCCAACCAUCCAAAUGGUGAUCGAGGAGAUUACUUGGGAUGAGCCCGAUAGGGCAUCUUCUCGGUAAGGUCAGUCAGAUCCGGAUGAGUCAGA